AGAGUUUGAUCCUGGCUCAGGACGAACGCUGGCGGCGUGCUUCAUACAUGCAAGUCGAACGAGAAGCAGGAGCUUGCUCCUGUGGAAAGUGGCGGACGGGUGAGUAACAUGUAGGAAAUCUGCCCAAGAGUGGGGGACAACAGUUGGAAACGACUGCUAAUACCCCAUAUGAGCCAAGCUGAAAUGCUUGUCUUGAAAACUCCGGUGCUCUUGGAUGAGCCUGCACCUGAUUAGCUAGUUGGCGGGGUAAAUGCCCACCAAGGCUAUGAUCAGUAGCUGGUUUGAGAGGAUGAUCAGCCACAAUGGGACUGAGACACGGCCCAUACUCCUACGGGAGGCAGCAGUAGGGAAUUUUGCGCAAUGGGCGAAAGCCUGACGCAGCAACGCCGCGUGUGUGAUGAAGCCCUUCGGGGUGUAAAACACUGUCAGUGGGGACGAAAUCUGACGGUACCCACAGAGGAAGCACCGGCUAACUCCGUGCCAGCAGCCGCGGUAAUACGGAGGGUGCAAGCGUUGUCCGGAAUCAUUGGGCGUAAAGAGUUCGUAGGCGGCAUGUCAAGUCCGGUGUUAAAUCCUGAGGCUCAACCUCAGACCGGCACUGGAUACUGGCAAGCUUGAAUGCGGUAGAGGUAAAGGGAAUUCCUGGUGUAGCGGUGAAAUGCGUAGAUAUCAGGAAGAACACCGGUGGCGUAAGCGCUUUACUGGGCCGUUAUUGACGCUGAGGAACGAAAGCCGGGGGAGCAAAUGGGAUUAGAUACCCCAGUAGUCCUGGCCGUAAACGAUGGAUACUAGGUGUUGCGGGUAUCGACCCCUGCAGUGCCGUAGCUAACGCGAUAAGUAUC
rnacentral:rRNA from 1 species